UACAGAGGUCUCAAGCGUUGUUCGGAUUCAUUGGGCGUAAAGGGUGCGUAGGCGGGUCUUUAAGUCAGGGGUGAAAUCCUGGAGCUCAACUCCAGAACUGCCUUUGAUACUGAAGAUCUUGAGUUCGGGAGAGGUGAGUGGAACUGCGAGUGUAGAGGUGAAAUUCGUAGAUAUUCGCAAGAACACCAGUGGCGAAGGCGGCUUACUGGUCCGGUUCUGACGCUGAGGCGCGAAAGCGUGGGGAGCAAACAGG
rnacentral:rRNA from 1 species